UAUAAUAAAUAAUCUUUUACGUUUUAAAUAUAUCAUAAUCUAUGUAUUAUAUUUAAAAAAACAGGCACAUUAUGGGCUGGAGCAAUGGGUACAUCACUGGCUUAUUCACGUGCAAGAACUCCUCUCAAGCCAAGCCUCAGGCUGAUUCAUGCCAGGAUGCAUGCACAAGCCUUGACACUGGCGGUGCUCUCGGGUGCGGCUGCCUACCAUUAUUAUGAGAAGCGUGCUGAAGAAAAAGCAA